UACAGAGGGUGCGAGCGUUAAUCGGAAUUACUGGGCGUAAAGCGUGCGUAGACGGUUAUUUAAGUCGGGUGUGAAAUCCCGGGGCUCAACCCCGGGACUGCAUUCGAUACUGUCAGGCUAGAGGUAGGUAGGGGAGAUCGGAAUUCCUGGUGUAGCGGUGAAAUGCGCAGAUAUCAGGAGGAACACCGGUGGCGAAGGCGGAUCUCUGGGCCUUACCUGACGCUCAGGCGCGAAAGCUAGGGGAGCGAACAGG
rnacentral:rRNA from 1 species